rnacentral:lncRNA from 1 species
GGAACAUUCACUGCCUCCAUGUCCACGUCGAUCCCGGAUGAGCCCCCACUUGUCACGAUCGACGACACGCCACACGUUCCGCGCCGCAACACCCC